rnacentral:rRNA from 1 species
GGGUGCCAUCAUACUAGUGUUAAUGCACUGCAUCCCAUCAGAGAUCUGCAGUUAAGCGCAUUUGGGAUAGAGUAGUAAUGGGAUGGGUGACCUCCCAGGAAGUCCUAGUGUUGCAAACU